UACGAAGGGGGUUAGCGUUGCUCGGAAUCACUGGGCGUAAAGCGCACGUAGGCGGCUUCUUAAGUCAGGGGUGAAAUCCUGGAGCUCAACUCCAGAACUGCCUUUGAUACUGAGGAGCUUGAGUCCGGGAGAGGUGAGUGGAACUGCGAGUGUAGAGGUGAAAUUCGUAGAUAUUCGCAAGAACACCAGUGGCGAAGGCGGCUCACUGGCCCGGUACUGACGCUGAGGUGCGAAAGCGUGGGGAGCAAACAGG
rnacentral:rRNA from 1 species